GAGGAGGUAAAGUGGUGGAAGAAGAUGAGGAGAAGACUCUCUUAACUCUUUUUUCUCUCUUCUCACAAAAUCCUAGACUGAACCCUAGGGUACCCUCGAAAGCUCAUGCCUAAGAGGAAUUGUUUUCCUCCAUUUCAUGCACAGAAGACCCACCCCACUCUUUGUUUCAUGCCCCACUCUUAGAAGUGUUUUCAUGGUAAAAGGAUCGAUCUUUUGUCACACAAAAUGGAGGUCCUUUUAAGGUUGCAAUGG
rnacentral:lncRNA from 1 species